UACGUAGGGGGCAAACGUUACUCGGAAUUACUGGGCGUAAAGGGUGCGUAGGCGGCUGGGAAAGUCAAGGACGAAAUCCCGUGGCUUAACUGCGGAACUGUCCUUGAAACUUCUCAGCUUGAGGAUAGCCGAAGAGAACGGAAUUCCCGGUGGAGCGGUGAAAUGCGUAGAUAUCGGGAGGAACACCUGAGGCGAAAGCGGUUCUCUAGACUACUCCUGACGCUGAGGCACGAAAGCUAGGGGAGCAAACGGG
rnacentral:rRNA from 1 species